CCAGAAGCCCCGACUCUGUGAUCAGCCCCGACAAGCCAUGCCCAAGUGAGCAGGACGGGGACUCCCUCCACCACUUCAGCUUCCCCCUCAGCGCCGGGGAGACCACGCCGCUGGCCCGCCUUUGCCCCGACGGAAGCGCCUCGGGCGACAACCACGGCCACUUGCUGGGAGGGCAGGUGUUUGAGACGGAGGACUUGAGGAGCUUGUCAUCCACUGUUGCUGGCAGCACAGAGCCGGUUCUCUCGAGGGUUGAGCUGGGAGAGACGCCCAAGUCGCAGUGUGUCUUGAAGUGCCGAGGCCAGGGUCUGGUGGACAAGCGGCUCGGGGCUUUGAACUCAAAAUCUGGGCUGCAGCCUCGGUCGCCGUUGUCACUGGUCGACAACUCCCCCCGACCCGCCAUCCCCAAACAGCUGCUGGCCGGCAUCAGGCCGGGCGUGUCGCUUAACGGCAACGUGGAUAAAGAGAACCGGGUGUGAUUUGUUUUGUUGUAAUUUUUUGAAGUAGUAAGUGACUAUGGAAGCAAAAACCACCAUGUGUUCCUGACAGUAGUGGAUCGUUCUAACUGGAUCAAGCUCCCAAACAAGAAUGGAACCUGUUCCAGAUUAUUUUUGUCUGUCCUCUUUGUUGUUUUGGCAGUCUCGUUGUGAUUGGGUUUCGCCGAAUCUGAAACGGGUUUUUGCAAAAGAAGAAAUGAAUCAAUCAGAAAUGGUAAAAACUGCAGACAUAAUGACCUGAACUGAAAAUACCUGAGAAUGUGAGUGAAUUCAGGGCAUUAUAAUCUUUUUGUUGUGUACUUGUGCUAUAAAGUUCUGGCCACCUGUCUGUACCUCAGCUCGAUAAAAUUUAAGCCUCAUGAAAAAAAUAGAAUCAUUUUCGUAUUUUGCUUUUGCCGAAGAUGGGGCGUAUGUAAAGUAUGUUUACAUUUUUUAAAAUUUUAUAUAUAUAUAGAGAGAGAGUGUGACACAUACCGCCAGUUACGUCCACAAAUGUCUGCGUUCCAUGUUGUGACAUUUUGUAACUUUGGAUGUAGUUUUUUAAGUCCCGACCCGUCUCUUAUAAAAUGUUAUACCACAUAAUAUUCUGUUAUUACAUGUAAUAUAUAUGUAGUCCAGCACACACACCUACCUAGCAAAAACACACACGCGCACAACAGGCAGAUUUUCAGGACCUCUACUUUAUUUAUUGUAUUCUUUGUACCGGUAUUAUAAUAAUAAUCAUAAUAAAAACUUGUACAUGGCAAAAUUUGUACAUUGUAACAAAAAGAUUUCCAUG